rnacentral:misc_RNA from 1 species
CAAUAAGUGUUUAUGGCACUUUAAUCCAUAUCCACCUUGUGUGCAACGUUAGGAACUUGAUCCGUACGGAGAAAUUCCUUAACUUUAUAACGUAUUUUGAACUAGUUUGUCUGAAUUUAACGUAUCAUGAAUUAACAUAAUUCUAAAAUA